GGCCAUAGCCCUCCGUUUGUCAAUGAUAUCAAUGUUGUGGAAUCCGACGUCGUCGAAACGCGCCUCUACCUGCACCCCUCGCUCCACCAGCAUCUGCACGAACUCCUGCUGCCGGUCCACCAACGGAUCGCCGCCGAAUCCGAUCACCAAGCAUUUCCCCAAACUCUUCACCUUCUCCUUCAUCGCCGCGUCCACCAGCGGGUUGCAGAACCGGUGGUCCCGGUCCGUUCCCACCGGCAGCGCCAGCUCCCACAGCAGGUCGAUUACCGGCAGCGGGAAGUACGGAUCCGUCGCCAGCUUCAGCUCGCUCUUCGUCCGCUUCUUCCCUCCGAUGAACGGCUGGUUCAGGAUCGUCCCGGCGAUCUUCAGCGGCUGCGGCUUCAUCUCCGGCAGCCGCAGCGCCGUGUUGUACGCGAUGUUCGCGCCGCAGCUCGCGCCGUAGAGAAAUUAGACCUAUUGAGAUCGCCGUAGUCUCUAAUCCAGGGAUCGCCGUCGCGGUCGGUGGCCUGGUUCUGGACCCAGGCGACGGCGUCCAUGGCGUCCUCGUACUGCGCGGGGAGGCGGUGCUCGGGGGCGAGGCGGAAGUCGACGGCGAUGAAUAUGGAAGGGAUCUCGGUGGAGGCGCGGUUGCUGCUCUCGUGGAUGAGGCUCUCGGCGACGCUCAUCUGGAUCCAGCCGCCGGGGUGGAAGUAGAGAAUGACGGGGAGGCGCGUGGCGGAGGGGAUCUUCGACGGCCGGUAGAGCCGCAUCCACGUCUUCUUGUCGGCGUUGAGGGUGACGUCCUUGCUCAACACGGCUUGGCUGGAGUCGCUGUUGGCGGGGGAGGUCGGGAGCUUCAUGUACCUGGUCAGACUCCCGUCUUGAUUCAGAGACACGUUGAGGUGAUCGUAGGGGUCGAAUUUUGACAUUAUUUUUCUGCUUUUUUUUUUUUUUUCUUUUUUCUUUUUCGAUGAACAACUAUGGAGGAGUUGUUUGUUUAAAUCCUUUGUGAAUAAUUUCUCUUAGCGUUUACCUCAAAACUAGGGAAUUUAUUGGAGGACUCAAGGUUGUCCAUAAACUUCGUUGCUUUUGAAGCCUACUUUCAAUUACCAUUUUGGGUAAAAAAAAUGUACUACAUUGUUUUGAACUCAGUGUUAGAGACAUCAGUCAGUUCAAUUUUAAACUAA